GGUUUCAUUUCAAGCAGACACCAAGCAUCAAAUGCGUGGUCUGUGCUAUGUGAUUGCAUUGUUACUGCUGGAGUGAGCAAUUUCAGAUUGCGUCAUGAUGGCGUGCCCCGUUGCGUCGUGAUCGGCGUGCCCUUUUAGCGUCAUGAUUGGCGUGCCCUGUGUUAACACGAUAUGUAUUAUUUAUUCGUGGGCUGCAUUGGUCAGAGGAGACUCACAAGCAGCAAGGAAAGGAGGCUGCUCUUCAUCAGCCAGAAGUUUGAUACAAAGGAGUACACAAGUUUAUUUCAUUACUUAUAAGCAAAGUCAAUUUUUUGGAUAUAGAUGGGCAGCAAUUUUAUCGAGCCAUGACAUCUAAUUUCUGUUAUCCUGCUUGUGGUGACCUGUCAUUUGAUGAUAUGUCAAACCUAAGUUGCCUCUAGGAAUUAUGAAUGUCAAAUUUGGGACACAGGUGUGCAGUUUUUUUAUCGAGCUCUGACAUCUGAGUAUGAUUUAAUUAUUUAAUUUUCUUAGAGUUUACUUUAUUAAUUGGUCGAAACCCUUUUUU